rnacentral:rRNA from 1 species
GACUAAUGUUGAAAAAUUAGCGGAUGACCUGUGGCUGGGGGUGAAAGGCCAAUCAAACCGGGAGAUAGCUGGUUCUCCCCGAAAGCUAUUUAGGUAGCGCCUCGUGAAUUCAUCUCCGGGGGUAGAGCACUGUUUCGGCUAGGGGGCCAUCCCGGCUUACCAACCCGAUGCAAACUGCGAAUACCGGAGAAUGUUAUCACGGGAGACACACGGCGGGUGCUAACGUCCGUCGUGAAGAGGGAAACAACCCAGACCGCCAGCUAAGGUCCCAAAGUCAUGGUUAAGUGGGAAACGAUGUGGGAAGGCCCAGACAGCCAGGAUGUUGGCUUAGAAGCAGCCAUCAUUUAAAGAAAGCGUAAUAGCUCACUGGUCGAGUCGGCCUGCGCGGAAGAUGUAACGGGGCUAAACCAUG